CUGAUAACAAACGCAUUCUCCUCCUGCAGCCCAGCCUAGUCGAACUGGUCGAUCAUGUGCUAAACUUGCCAAAGUUUUACAUCUGGAAUACAAACUCAGGAGGUUGAAAUUCUUCAGCGCCUUAAAGGAUGUUUCCUCUCUCGCGGAAAGCCAAGCUCGGACUUAUUGGCGGGAUUUUAGUGGGAACAACGCUAGGAGGACAAUCUUGGGCGAUGGUGUUUGGUUUAGUCGGGGUGGCAGGUGGUCCAGUUGGUGUCGCACUUUGUAUGAUCUUUAAGUUCUUCUGGGACCUGUUCGAAUUAGGAGGAUAGGACCAGGAUCCGCUACAUAAUCCUAACAUAGCAAUAAAUAAUUUAUUCAUGUUGAUUCUGAUUGAUUAAAACUUUUCAGGACGCUUAAUUUACAACUAGUAUUAUCCUACCUUGAGCUUCUCAAGUGUAAUUAAAAACUGAUCAAGUACUGUGAAGGUGUCUUUUUUAUUAGAAGAAAAUCAUGCAAAAAUGUCGGACCCUAACAUAUUUAUGCAAGUACAAAUAUUUAAAUAUUAUAGCAUUGACCUUACAUGGAAAUAAUAUAACAUGCGAAUGGUAAAUAA